GACAGGACCGAUGUUUUUUAUGACUGACAGGCUUCGGGUCUUUCAAGAUAUUGUUUUUGGUGGUGCAUGGCCGUUGGUGGUGCGUGGGUUGACCUGUCUAGCGUUGAUUCAGCUAACGAGCGAGAUUAUCGCCAAUUAUUUACUUUGCCGAAGUCCUUCGGUUAAAGUUCUAAUUGGGACUCCCUGCGAUUUUAGCAGGUGGAAGAGGGUAGCAAUAACAGGUCCGUGAUGCCCUUUAGAUGCUCUGGGCUGCACGCGUGCUACAAUGUUAGGAUCAAUAGGACUGCGAGCCUGAGAGGGUGCGCUACUCUUAUAAUCCCUAACGUAGUUGGGAUUGACGUUUGUAAUCAGCGUCAUGAACCAGGAAUCCCUUGUAAAUGUGUGUCAACAACGCACGUUGAAUACGUCCCUGCCCUUUGUACACACCGCCCGUCGCUCCUACCGAUUGGAUGACUCGGUGAAAUCACCGGAUGCUUACGAGCAGAAAGUGAUUAAAUCACGUUAUCUAGAGGAAGGAGAAGUCGUAACAAGGUAACGGUAGGUGAACCUGCCGUUGGAUCAGUU
rnacentral:ncRNA from 1 species